GCCUACGGGAGGCAGCAGUCGGGAAUAUUGCGCAAUGGAGGAAACUCUGACGCAGUGACGCCGCGUAUAGGAAGAAGGUUUUCGGAUUGUAAACUAUUGUCGUGAGGGAAGAAAUUGACAGUACCUCAGGAGGAAGCUCCGGCUAACUAUGUGCCAGCAGCCGCGGUAAUACAUAGGGAGCAAGCGUUGUCCGGAUUUACUGGGUGUAAAGGGUGCGCAGGCGGCUCUGCAAGUCAGGCGUGAAAGCUAGGGGCUCAACCCCUAAACUGCGCUUGAAACUGUGGAGCUUGAGUGAAGUAGAGGCA
rnacentral:rRNA from 1 species